rnacentral:rRNA from 1 species
UACGGGGGGGCAAGGCGUUGUUCGGAAUUACUGGGCGUAAAGGGCUCGUAGGCGGCCAACUAAGUCGGACGUGAAAUCCCUCGGCUUAACCGGGGAACUGCGUCCGAUACUGGAUGGCUCGAGUGUGGGAGAGGGAUGCGGAAUUCCAGGUGUAGCGGUGAAAUGCGUAGAUAUCAGGAGGAACACCGGUGGCGAAGGCGGGUCUCUGGACAGUUCCGUGACGCUGAGGCACGAAGGUCAGGGGAGCAAACGGG